GUUGUAUGGUUAAGUGACUAAGCGUACACGGUGGAUGCCUUGGCAGUCAGAGGCGAUGAAAGGCGUAAUAACUUGCGAUAAGCCCAGAUUAGGUAGUAAUAACCUUUGAGUCUGGGAUUCCUGAAUGGGGAAACCCACUUACAUAAGUAAGUAUYCUGUUGUGAAUACAUAGCAACAGGAGGCAAACCGGGGGAACUGAAACAUCUAAGUACCCCGAGGAAGAGAAAUCAACCGAGAUUCCGAAAGUAGCGGCGAGCGAAAUUGGAUUAGCCCUUAAGCUUUUAAUGAGACAGACGAAGGCUCUGGAAAGUGCCGCAGUAAAGGGUGAUAGCCCCGUAGUCGACAUCUCAUAAUCAGUGAAAACGAGUAGGGCGGGACACGUGAUAUCCUGUCUGAAUAUGGGGGGACCAUCCUCCAAGGCUAAAUACUACUGACUGACCGAUAGUGAACCAGUACCGUGAGGGAAAGGCGAAAAGAACCCCUGUGAGGGGAGUGAAAUAGAACCUGAAACCGUGUACGUACAAGCAGUAGGAGCACCUUCGUGGUGUGACUGCGUACCUUUUGUAUAAUGGGUCAGCGACUUAAUUUUAGUAGCAAGGUUAACCGUUUAGGGGAGCCGUAGGGAAACCGAGUCUUAACUGGGCG
rnacentral:rRNA from 1 species